AUCAUCCCCUUGGGUCCCUUACAGUCUCAAUAUCCUGAUGAUAUUCAACCUAAUUCAGUGCAUGUGCUGCUUUUCUGGUGUCCUGUGCCAGACACCUCUGCCAUCUGUCCUUCUUCUGGGCAGAUUUUCUUGCCAUCAGAUGCUCUUGGUCAUCUUCCAUGGACGUCACAUAUCGUCUCAGGCCAAAAUGACCGGACCAGAGCUCCUUUGACAUAUGACCAGACUGGCAGUGGUUCAGUAGACAUUUGUUGAUGGUAACAAGUGAAUCAUAG
rnacentral:lncRNA from 1 species